rnacentral:sRNA from 1 species
GCCUAGCCCCGAUAGAAGUGGAAAUCCUUUUGUGCCGGGGUUCGGCACAAAAGAUUGCCCCCAGCUGGCGCGAGCGUCU